UACGUAGGGCGCAAGCGUUGUCCGGAAUUAUUGGGCGUAAAGAGCUCGUAGGCGGUUUGUUGCGUCGGCUGUGAAAUCCCGAGGCUCAACCUCGGGUCUGCAGUCGAUACGAGCAAACUAGAGUGUUGCAGGGGAGACUGGAAUUCCUGGUGUAGCGGUGAAAUGCGUAGAUAUCGGGAGGAACACCGGUGGCGAAGGCGGCCCCCUGGUUGGAUACUGACGCUGAGACGCGAAAGCGUGGGGAGCAAACAGG
rnacentral:rRNA from 1 species